UACGUAGGGGGCAAGCGUUGUCCGGAAUCAUUGGGCGUAAAGAGCGUGUAGGCGGCUUGGUAAGUCCGCUGUGAAAGUCCAGGGCUCAACCCUGGAAUGCCGGUGGAAACUGCCAAGCUAGAGUCCGGAAGAGGCGAGUGGAAUUCCUGGUGUAGCGGUGAAAUGCGCAGAUAUCAGGAGGAACACCAAUGGCGAAGGCAGCUCGCUGGGACGGUACUGACGCUGAGACGCGAAAGCGUGGGAGCAAACAGG
rnacentral:rRNA from 1 species